rnacentral:tRNA from 1 species
GAGGGUAUAGCUCAAGUGGUAGAGCACAUGCUUAGCACAUAUGAGGUCCUGAGUUCAAUCCCCAGUACCUCCU